GGAUCGAGGGAAAUUAGUACCGAAGUCCGGGAUGGAAGAUGGCGAGAAAAGCUGUGUGUAUUUCUGCGGUGCCCGUACCGCAAACCGACACAGGUAGGUAGGAAGAAGAUUCUAAGGCCAACGGGAGAAGGGUUGUUAAGGAACUCGGCAAAUUGACCCCGUAACUUCGGGAGAAGGGGUGCUGCAGCAAUGCAGCCGCAGAGAAUCGGCCCAAGCAACUGUUUACCAAAAACACAGGUUUGUGCUAAAUCGAAAGAUGACGUAUACGAGCUGACGCCUGCCCGGUGCUGGAAGGUUAAGAGGAGAUGUGCAAGCAUUGAAUCGAAGCCCCAGUGAACGGCGGCCGUAACUAUAACGGUCCUAAGGUAGCGAAAUUCCUUGUCAGGUAAGUUCUGACCCGCAUGAAAGGCGUAAUGAUUUGGGCACUGUCUCAACAGCCCGCCCGGCGAAAUUGUAGAACCGGUGAAGAUGCCGGUUACCCGCGACAAGACGGAAAGACCCCAUGGAGCCUUACUGUAGCCUAAUAUUGGGUUUCGAUGUUGCAUGCACAGGAUAGAUGGGACACUGGGAAGCAGGUGCUUUGGCGCUUGUGGAGUGGCCGUUGGGAUACCAUCCUUGCGAUAUUGGAAUUCUAACCUGCGCCUUUGAAUCAAGGCGGGGGACAUUGUUAGGUGGGCAGUUUGACUGGGGCGGUCGCCUCCUAAAGAGUAACGGAGGCGUUCAAAGGUUCGCUCAGCUUGAACGGAAAUCAAGCAAAAGAGUGCAAACGCAGAAGCGAGCCUAACUGCGAGACUGACGGGUCGAGCAGUAACGAAAGUUGGAGUUAGUGAUCCGGUGGUAUGUGAGUGGAAAUGCCAUCGCUCAACGGAUAAAAGUUACCCUGGGGAUAACAGGCUGAUCUCCCCCAAGAGUCCACAUCGACGGGGAGGUUUGGCACCUCGAUGUCGGCUCAUCGCAUCCUGGGGCUGUAUUCGGUCCCAAGGGUUUGGCUGUUCGCCAAUUAAAGCGGUACGCGAGCUGGGUUCAGAACGUCGUGAGACAGUUCGGUCCCUAUCUGUCGUGGGCGCAGGUUAUUUGAUGGGAGCUGUUCCUAGUACGAGAGGACCGGAGCGGACGUACCUCUGGCGCACCAGUUGUUCUGCCAAGAGCAUAGCUGGGCAACUAUGUACGGAUCGGAUAAACGCUGAAUGCAUCUAAGCGUGAAGCCGACCCAAAGAUAAGAUAUCCCAUUGUUUCAAACAAGUAAGACCCCUUGAAGACUACAAGGUUGAUAGGCACGAUGUGUAAGUGGAGCGAUCCAUUCAGCAAGCGUGUACUAAUAGGUCGAGGGCUUGAUC
rnacentral:rRNA from 1 species